AGUGGCUGUCGAUCUCCGAGACGGAAAUUCGUCUCUUGGUUACAGUAAGGGAGGUUCGACCUCUGUGCCUGUCAGUCUGAAUGAUGGAGGUGUGGCAGCUGCAUCGCCUGGUUUUGAUGAAGGAGGUGUGGCCUCUGCAUCUCUUGGUUUUGAUGAAGGAGGUGUGUUCUCUGCGUCUCUUGGUUUUGAUGAAGGAGGUGUGGCCUCUGCAUCUCUUGGUUUUGAUGAAGGAGGUGUGGCCUCUGCGUCUCUUGGUUUUGAUGAAGGUGUGGCCUAUGUGCCUGUCAGUCUCAAUGAUGGAGGUGUGGCCUCUGCGUCUCUUGGUUUGAUGAAGAAGGUGUGGCCUAUGUGCCUGUCAGUCUCAAUG
ensembl:lncRNA